rnacentral:rRNA from 1 species
UGUCCUACGGGGGGCAGCAGUGGGGAAUAUUGGGCAAUGGGCGCAAGCCUGACCCAGCAACGUCGCGUGAGUGAUGACGGCCUUCGGGUUGUAAAGCUCUGUCUUCAGGGACGAUAAUGACGGUACCUGAGGAGGAAGCCACGGCUAACUACGUGCCAGCAGCCGCGGUAAUACGUAGGUGGCGAGCGUUGUCCGGAUUUACUGGGCGUAAAGGGAGCGUGGGCGGACUUUUAAGUGAGAUGUGAAAUACUCGGGCUCAACUUGAGUGCUGCAUUUCAAACUGGAAGUCUAGAGUGCAGGAGAGG